CUCUGUUAAAGAAUCACAAUCCUCUUUCAUCCUUUCAAUUGCAUCAACUUUAGUUGGAUCUAGUUUUCUUCCGUAAGAUCCACAUAAUUGUCCAACAAUUACAACCUCUCGUACUCCAAAUACGGACUUCAUACCCGAUAAUGUAAGAUGAACUUCUCCAAGCCGAGUUAAAAUCUUUUCACAAUCUUGUAUAUGAUCAACAACAUAUCUGCGACAUCCCCUCAUAUCUAAAGUUUCAUCCUUGUCUCCUUCUCUGCAC
rnacentral:lncRNA from 1 species